AUGCGAAGGGGGCAAGCGUUGUUCGGAAUAACUGGGCGUAAAGCGCACGUAGGCGGAAUGUUAAGUUAGAGGUGAAAUCCCAGGGCUCAACCCUGGAACUGCCUUUAAUACUGGCAAUCUAGAGACCGAGAGAGGUGAGUGGAAUUCCGAGUGUAGAGGUGAAAUUCGUAGAUAUUCGGAGGAACACCAGUGGCGAAGGCGGCUCACUGGCUCGGUACUGACGCUGAGGUGCGAAAGCGUGGGGAGCAAACAGGAUUAGAUACCCUAGUAGUCC
rnacentral:rRNA from 1 species